GACGAACGCUGGCGGCGUGCCUAAUACAUGCAAGUCGAACGCAGUGGGGACGGGUGCGUAACACGUGGGUAACCUCCCAUCAGAGUGGAUAACCCUUGGAAACCGGUGCUAAACCGAUACUGAUUGAUGGACCCGCGGUGCAUUAGCUAGUUGGUGGGGUAACGGCUCACCAAGGCCACGAUGCAUAGCCGACCUGAGAGGGGGAUCAGCCACACUGGGACUGAGACACGGCCCAGACUCCUACGGGAGGCAGCAGUAGGGAAUUUUGGACAAUGGGGGAAACCCUGAUCCAGCCAUCCCGCGUGUGCGAUGAAGGCCUUCGGGUUGUAAAGCACUUUUGGCAGGAAAGCGGUACCUGCAGAAGAAGCACCGGCUAACUACGUGCCAGCAGCCGCGGUAAUAC
rnacentral:rRNA from 1 species